GACGAACGCUGGCGGCGUGCCUAAUACAUGCAGGUUGAGCGCUGAAGGUUGGUACUUGUACCAACUGGAUGAGCAGCGAACGGGUGAGUAACGCGUGGGGAAUCUGCCUUUGAGCGGGGGACAACAUUUGGAAACGAAUGCUAAUACCGCAUAAAAACUUUAAACACAAGUUUUAAGUUUGAAAGAUGCAAUUGCAUCACUCAAAGAUGAUCCCGCGUUGUAUUAGCUAGUUGGUGAGGUAAAGGCUCACCAAGGCGAUGAUACAUAGCCGACCUGAGAGGGUGAUCGGCCACAUUGGGACUGAGACACGGCCCAAACUCCUACGGGAGGCAGCAGUAGGGAAUCUUCGGCAAUGGACGAAAGUCUGACCGAGCAACGCCGCGUGAGUGAAGAAGGUUGUCGGAUCGUAAAACUCUGUUGGUAGAGAAGAACGUUGGUGAGAGUGGAAAGCUCAUCAAGUGACGGUAACUACCCAGAAAGGGACGGCUAACUACGUG
rnacentral:rRNA from 1 species